AGGAUGAACGCUGGCGGCGUGCUUAACACAUGCAAGUCGAACGAUGAAGGCUGGAGCUUGCUCUGGCUGGAUUAGUGGCGAACGGGUGAGUAACACGUGAGUAACCUGCCCCAGACUCUGGGAUAAGCGCUGGAAACGGCGUCUAAUACCGGAUACGAGCUUCCACCGCAUGGUGAGGAGCUGGAAAGAAUUUCGGUCUGGGAUGGACUCGCGGCCUAUCAGCUU
rnacentral:rRNA from 1 species